AGUAGCAGCAGCAGUCCCAAAUGGACUAAAAUUGGAAAUUUUUGGACUUUAAUUAGUCCAAUUUGCAGCAGUAACAGCAGCCUGCAAAGGGCUAAAGAUUUUGGGAUUUAGGACUUAAAAGUCCAAUUUGAUAAGCGACAAAAAUGGUCCGAGCAUUAAGUCCAAUGGCUUGAUUUAGAGACAUGCUUUAUUUCCUUUAUUUGUCUUGCUAUUUGUUUAUUGAUUGAUUGUGAAUUAACUUUUUAUCUAAUUUAGAUGAAUCCUUG
rnacentral:lncRNA from 1 species